rnacentral:rRNA from 1 species
UACGAAGGGGGCUAGCGUUGUUCGGAAUUACUGGGCGUAAAGGGCGCGUAGGCGGCUGUGCAAGUCAGGUGUGAAAGCCCUGGGCUCAACCCAGGAUGUGCAUUUGAUACUGCGCGGCUAGAGUGUCGGAGAGGAUGGUGGAAUUCCCAGUGUAGAGGUGAAAUUCGUAGAUAUUGGGAAGAACACCGGUGGCGAAGGCGACCAUCUGGACGACAACUGACGCUGAGGCGCGAAAGCGUGGGGAGCGAACAGG